rnacentral:misc_RNA from 1 species
GGAUGUAAAAGUCGUAACAAGGUCUCCGUUGGUGAACCAGCGGAGGGAUCAUUACCGAAGUUACCUUCAAAACCCACUGUGAACCUUACCUCUUGCCGCGUUGUCUCGGCGGGAGGCGGUGUGCGUCGCGCGCCCUAGCGGGCCGCGCCGCUCCCGUCCCCGCCGGCAGCGCCAAACUCUAAAUGCACAGCGGACUGUACGUUCUGAUUUACAAAAAAAAACAAGUUAAAACUUUCAACAACGGAUCUCUUGGUUCUG